rnacentral:lncRNA from 1 species
CAGACAUACAUAUGUAUAAAGGAGAUAUCCAUAGAAGUUAGACAAAUGGUGAAGAUAUGGUGAAGAGUCCGUGGGAAGACUCUGAGAAGCAUCCAGAAGUUGCUGGAGGUGGGCAUAUCUUCUGUUACUGUUGAGCAAGAUCUCAGAAGCAAGGUCUCAGAACCAGUAGUCAUGCCUCUCCUAAU